rnacentral:rRNA from 1 species
UACGUAGGGGCCUAGCGUUGUCCGGAUUUAUUGGGCGUAAAGAGCUCGUAGGCGGCUUGGUAAGUCAGGUGUGAAAUCUCCACGCUCAACGUGGAGGGGCCACCCGAAACUGCCAUGGCUUGAGUCCGGUAGGGGAGUGUGGAAUUCCCGGUGUAGCGGUGGAAUGCGCAGAUAUCAGGAGGAACACCGGUGGCGAAGGCGGGAUCCUGGGCCAGUACUGACGCUGAGGAGCGAAAGCGUGGGGAGCAAACAGGG